rnacentral:rRNA from 1 species
UGCGGAAGGGAUAAGUGCUGAAAGCAUCUAAGCAUGAAGCCCCCCUCGAGAUGAGAUUUCCCAUAGCGUCAAGCUAGUAAGACCCCUGAAAGAUGAUCAGGUUGAUAGGUUUGAGGUGGAAGCAUGGUGACAUGUGGAGCUGACAAAUACUAAUCGGUCGAGGACUUAACCAAAA